UUCGCCCUUAGAGUUUGAUCCUGGCUCAGGACGAACGCUGGCGGCGUGCCUAACACAUGCAAGUCGAGCGGAGGUAUAUACGAAGAAGUUUUCGGACGGAAUUGUAUAUACUUUAGCGGCGGACGGGUGAGUAACGCGUGAGCAACCUGCCUUUCACAGGGGGAUAAGGCGGCGAAAGCCGCUCUAAUACCGCAUGAGACCACAGUGGUGAUGCUACAGGGGUCAAAGGAGCAAUCCGGUGAAAGAUGGGCUCGCGUCCGAUUAGGUAGUUGGUGGGGUAAUGGCCCACCAAGCCCGUGAUCGGUAGCCGGCCUGAGAGGGUGAACGGCCACAUUGGAACUGAGACACGGUCCAAACCCCUACGGGAGGCUGCAGUGGGGAAUAUUGGGCAAUGGGGGGAACCCUGACCCAGCAACGCCGCGUGAGGGAAGAAGGUUUUCGGAUUGUAAACCUCUGUUCUUGGGGAAGAGUGAAAGACGGUACCCAAGGAGGAAGCCCCGGCUAACUACGUGCCAGCAGCCGCGGUAAUACGUAGGGGCGAGCGUUGUCCGGAAUGAUUGGGCGUAAAGGGCGCGUAGGCGGCUUUGCAAGUCAGUAGUGGAAGUCCAUUUUUCAAGGAUGGAAGUGCUACAGAAACUGCGGAGCUUGAGUGCAGGAGAGGUUAUCGGAAUUCCCGGUGUAGCGGUGAAAUGCGUAGAGAUCGGGAGGAACACCAGUGGCGAAGGCGGGUAACUGGACUGCAACUGACGCUGAGGCGCGAAAGUGUGGGGAGCAAACAGGAUUAGAUACCCUGGUAGUCCACACUGUAAACGAUGAAUGCUAGGUGUAGGAGGUAUCGACCCCCUCUGUGCCGCAGUAAACACAAUAAGUAUCCCGCCUGGGGAGUACGGUCGCAAGGCUGAAACUCAAAGGAAUUGACGGGGGCCCGCACAAGCGGUGGAGCAUGUGGUUUAAUUCGAUGCAACGCGAAGAACCUUACCAGGUCUUGACAUCCAAAGAAUCCUGAUGAAAGUCGGGAGUGCCUUAGGGAGCUUUGAGACAGGUGGUGCAUGGUUGUCGUCAGCUCGUGUCGUGAGAUGUUGGGUUAAGUCCCGCAACGAGCGCAACCCCCGCUAUUAGUUGCUAACAUUCAGAUGAGCACUCUAAUGGGACUGCCCGUGACAAGCGGGAGGAAGGUGGGGAGGACGUCAAAUCAUCAUGCCCUCUAUGAUCUGGGCUACACACGUGCUACAAUGGAUGGUACAGAGAGCAGCGAGACAGUGAUGUGGAGCGAAUCUCAAAAAGCCAUUCUCAGUUCGGAUUGCAGGCUGCAACUCGCCUGCAUGAAGUCGGAAUCGCUAGUAAUCGCGGAUCAGCAUGUCGCGGUGAAUAAGGUCCCGGGCCUUGCACUCACCG
rnacentral:rRNA from 1 species